UCUUUCUGGAGAUUCUUCCUUUGGAGUCUUCUACUGUGAUCCUAGGACACGGCCGAAAUGGGACAGGGUUUAUUGAUGGGCUUUCCUUCUGGAUUCCAUUGGCUUGAAGAGGUGGGGUUCUGUAAAGUUGCCUGGAUAAAACGCUGUCUCUUGAAAACCUCAGCGAGAAAACAGCUUAUCCUGAAGGUGAACAUCCUGACACAAAUGGGAAGUCCUCGUCAGAAAUGACAAGUGAUGGUGCUGCAGGGAGUUUACCAAAUUAACUGUUUUUCAAAGCAUACGCUGCCAUUGAUUAUGACCUGACUUCUGAAAAGAUCUGACUUCUGUCACUACAGUCAUGAGAUACCUAUCAAGUGGAACAAACACUCACUGUGCUUGUUCUUGCAUAGCUUUUCCUUUUGAGGAAUUCAUCUGUCUUCGUGAUGUUUUGUGCUUCAGGCUUGCUGUUCAGACCCAUUGCCAGGUUUCUGUUUAUGACAAUAUAUUGGUAAACAAUCAAAUCUGUAAGGUAUAACACAGUUAUGUGGCUCUAAAUAGUUAAAAUGUUGACCAAUAUUAAGAAAAAGAUUUACUUUCAAAAAUUCAUUGGCAGGUAUAUUUGGAAAUACUAUGUCAAAAUGAUUUCAUAAUAAGUGUAGGUUUGUUAAGACUGAGUUUCUUCACUCAGGCCAGCUGCAGUAAGAGCAAGGAAGAUUUGGAACUAAAUUCUGGGAUGUCUGGUUAGUCUGGGAAAGAUCCAUUGGCAGCCCAAGAAAUCACUAGUUUUGUGGUAGAUAAAACAUAGUCCUUGGUGGAGAGGACACGGUAAAUUUUUGUAAGCGCAUCCUUCCUGCAACCAGUCUGUUCUGGGUAAACUGCCACUGAGUUUGGCUUAGGCAGCCUUUGGCCAGAUAACAGAGGGACUGGAAAGCAGAACCCCAAAUACAUGUCUGCUUCCUUACUCCUGCUGUUUAUAAACAAAACAACAUUUAUUCCUUUGAAGGUACAAAGCAAAUAUGAAAAUUUAUAACCAAGUACCCCCUUUUAUUGCUUCUCUCCUUAAUUUUGUCUAUGUUCACCACUCUUAAUAAUAAAAUUGUCUUGUUGCUCUAUGUUCC
ensembl:lncRNA